rnacentral:rRNA from 1 species
GAUGAACGCUGGCGGCGUGCCUAAUACAUGCAAGUCGAGCGAACAGACGAGGAGCUUGCUCCUCUGACGUUAGCGGCGGACGGGUGAGUAACACGUGGAUAACCUACCUAUAAGACUGGGAUAACUUCGGGAAACCGGAGCUAAUACCGGAUAAUAUAUUGAACCGCAUGGUUCAAUAGUGAAAGACGGUUUUGCUGUCACUUAUAGAUGGAUCCGCGCCGCAUUAGCUAGUUGGUAAGGUAACGGCUUACCAAGGCGACGAUGCGUAGCCGACCUGAGAGUGGGGCAGCCAACACGGGAAGUGGACCCCGGCGCAGACCACAAGGGGGGGGCCGGGGGGGAAGUAUCCCACAAGGGGCGAAAGCCGAAGGAGACACCACUGCGGGAUUAAGAAAGUUGUGCGAACCGAAAAACUGGUUAAUAAGAGAAAAACAAAUGUUUAAGUAACAAUCCCCGUCUUGAGGGACCCUAACAGGAGGACCAGACCAAACUAGGCC